rnacentral:rRNA from 1 species
UACGUAGGGUGCAAGCGUUUAAUCGGAAUUACUGGGCGUAAAGCGUGCGCAGGCGGUGAUGUAAGACAGGUGUGAAAUCCCCGGGCUCAACCUGGGAAUGGCAAUGGAUACUGGCAAGCUAGAGUGCGGUAGAGGGUAGUGGAAUUCCCGGUGUAGCGGUGAAAUGCGUAGAGAUCGGGAGGAACACCAGUGGCGAAGGCGGCUACCUGGACCAGCACUGACACUGAGGCACGAAAGCGUGGGGAGCAAACAGG